rnacentral:rRNA from 1 species
UGGGGAAUCUUGCACAAUGGGGGCAACCCUGAUGCAGCGACGCCGCGUGAGCGAUGAAGCCCUUCGGGGCGUAAAGCUCUUUCGACCGGAACGAUAAUGACGGUACCGGGUGAAGAAGCUGCGGCUAACUACGUGCCAGCAGCCGCGGUAAUACGUAGGCAGCAAGCGUUGUUCGGAGUUACUGGGCGUAAAGAGUGCGUAGGCGGUUUUCUAAGUUCGGUGUGAAAUCUCCCGGCUUAACUGGGAGGGUGCGCCGAAGACUGGGAAGCUGGAGUGUGGGAAAGGCAGGCGGAAUUCCUGGUGUAGCGGUGAAAUGCGUAGAUAUCAGGAGGAACACCGGCGGUGUAGACGGCUUGCUAGACCAUAACUGACGCUGAGGCACGAAAGCGUGGGUAGCAAACA